rnacentral:rRNA from 1 species
UACGUAGGGCGCAAGCGUUAUCCGGAAUUAUUGGGCGUAAAGAGCUCGUAGGCGGCUUGUCGCGUCGGUUGUGAAAGCCCGGGGCUUAACCCCGGGUCUGCAGUCGAUACGGGCAGGCUAGAGUGUGGUAGGGGAGAUCGGAAUUCCUGGUGUAGCGGUGAAAUGCGCAGAUAUCAGGAGGAACACCGGUGGCGAAGGCGGAUCUCUGGGCCAUUACUGACGCUGAGGAGCGAAAGCGUGGGGAGCGAACGGG